GUUGAAAGUCUCUGGCGAGAGCGCUCCGGAGAGCCCGCUUCAAGGCAAGAACGCAGGUCGUGGUUGGAUAUUCUCAUGAAAAGAAACUGAAACCUUGAAUGGCAGUGCCAGGUGGUCAUGUGGGUGCGGAACCUCUGAUUUUCGGGGAAGAGAGCUUGGACUUUGGAGAAGACAUCUGUCUGCAGGAAACGUCCUGUUUGAAGAGGAAGCAAACGGCUCAAGAUUCAGGUUUCCUGACUGACGAACGCGAAACCCCGAGGAAGUCCGGAGGCGCUCGGCCUAGUGAGUUUCGAGGGGCGUCGCCCGAGCAGCUGCCCCAGGAGGAGAUGGAGCCGCCUGAAACUGAAGAGCCGCCCCAGGAAGGGGAAGAGCCGUCGGUGGACAUGACUUCCGGCAUCAAGGAAGCUUUUGACAUCAUCAAAAGGAACCUCCAACAGCAUCACGAUGACUGCUGGCAGAAGGUCCAAGACCAAAGUCUCCUAUCGCUCAAAGAGCAAGAGCGACACGUCACCUCGCUCUUUGAAGACAUCCGCCAACACAGGGCAGUUCUGCUUCACCACUUUGAGAAGUCUGUGGCAGAGCAUCUCAAGUGUUUGGAGGAAACAUCCAGGACCUAUCUCAACAUGUACUCACAGUUACAGGUCAUGAUGUCAGAACGACGCAAGCACAAAACUGAAAUGGAUUCAAGUGGCAUCGUGCGUGCAAAUAAAAAGAUAGCUUGCGUGAUGUCGCUAUCCACAUCGGAUGGAGAUGAGCCACAAUAUCUCGUGAUUCAGAGCAGAUAUUGAUCUGACUCCGAACGGGUUCAGACUCGGCUGAGAACGGAACCGGAGCAGAUCUGUUCCACGUGAUUCAGACUGGAUCCGGAUACCAUUUGGACCACAGCCACACCAAAAUGACAUUUCUUUUUCUUCUUUUUGUUUCUUCCAGUCGGAGAGGCGUCGACUGUCCGACUUUUGCGAGCAACACAAGCUGAGGUUGAGGUCCUUGGACGAAGCAGGAGUGGAGCCUGAGUCUGGCCAUUGAGAUGCAAUCGACCCCUUUUGGAUCGUUUUUCUUUUUGGAUUUGACCCUUUGUUCAGUAUGUAAAUAAAAGCAUAUCAGCAUUUGCAGGAGUUCCCUCGCGUGCAUGCGUACGCACGUCGACGGCCUGGCCAACCGUACUUUUUUUUUUUUCUCCCCAACAUCCUCAAGAGGUUGUCUGGACACAAUUGGAUUUCAGCCCCUCAUGGCUUUCAGCCAGCCACUAAAAACCGAAACAUGA